rnacentral:rRNA from 1 species
AUUGAACGCUGGCGGCAUGCCUUACACAUGCAAGUCGAACGGCAGCGCGGGGCAACCUGGCGGCGAGUGGCGAACGGGUGAGUAAUAUAUCGGGAACGUGCCCUGGAGUGGGGGAUAACGUAGCGAAAGUUACGCUAAUACCGCAUACGAUCUACGGAUGAAAGUGGGGGCCCGCCUUGGCGGCCUCAUGCUCGUGGAGCGGCCGAUAUCUGAUUAGCUAGUUGGUAGGGUAAAAGCCUACCAAGGCAUCGAUCAGUAGCUGGUCUGAGAGGACGACCAGCCACACUGGAACUGAGACACGGUCCAGACUCCUACGGGAGGCAGCAGUGGGGAAUUUUGGACAAUGGGCGAAAGCCUGAUCCAGCAAUGCCGCGUGAGUGAAGAA